rnacentral:rRNA from 1 species
UACGUAGGGUGCGAGCGUUGUCCGGAAUUAUUUGGCGUAAAGAGCUCGUAGGCGGUGUGUCACGUCGGCCGUGAAAACCUGGGGCUUAACUCUGGGCGUGCGGUCGAUACGGGCAUCACUAGAGUUCGGUAGGGGAGACUGGAAUUCCUGGUGUAGCGGUGAAAUGCGCAGAUAUCAGGAGGAACACCGAUGGCGAAGGCAGGUCUCUGGGCAUUAACUGACGCUGAGGAGCGAAAGCAUGGGGAGCGAACAGG